rnacentral:rRNA from 1 species
AUUGAACGCUGGCGGCAGGCCUAACACAUGCAAGUCGAACGGUAACAGGAAGAAGCUUGCUUCUUUGCUGACGAGUGGCGGACGGGUGAGUAAUGUCUGGGAAACUGCCUGAUGGAGGGGGAUAACUACUGGAAACGGUAGCUAAUACCGCAUAACGUCGCAAGACCAAAGAGGGGGACCUUCGGGCCUCUUGCCAUCGGAUGUGCCCAGAUGGGAUUAGCUAGUAGGUGGGGUAACGGCUCACCUAGGCGACGGUCCCUAGCUGGUCUGAGAGGAUGACCAGCCACACUGGAACUGAGACACGGUCCAGACUCCUACGGGAGGCAGCAGUGGGGAAUAUUGCACAAUGGGCGCAAGCCUGAUGCAGCAAUGCCGCGUGUAUGAAGAAGGCCUUCGGGUUGUAAAGUACUUUAAGCGGGGAGGAAGGGAGUAAAGUUAAUACCUUUGCUCAUUGACGUUACCCGCAGAAGAAGCACCGGCUAACUCCGUG